CACCUGGUACCUUACUUAACCGAGUACCAACAUAAUGUAUCUUUUCAUGUCAUACUAUUAUAAAUAACUGAGCCGGAAAGGCUGCCGUGAAAUACGUAGAAUACAACAGGUAAUGCCAACUUAUACAUAAGACAUAUGGGCCUCUAAGACCAAAAUUAAGCACUUGAACACUGAACAUAGGCCGACAAGGUCAUACGAUCUUUUACGUACAUGACAUCUGUCUACAAGCCUCUAAGAAUACAUAAUUUUCAUAGAGGUCGAGACAGAGUCCCGCCAUACCAAACAAUACACAUCUAACUCAUACUAACCAAUCAAGCAACUCCGAAGCAAAUUGAGCGCACCAACAUCUUCCGUUGAGCUGAUAGCCUACUUGGAGGGCUCUCGACCUAUCUAUGGGACCUGCGGGCAUGAAACAUAGCAUCCCUAGGCAAAAAAGGACGUCAAUACGAAUAAUAUACUAAGUAUGUAAGACACAUAAAUAAGUACAUAUCAGACAUAAAGGAAAUAUAGAUUAAAUGACUCCACCUGUAAGUCUGGAUAACUUUGUAAAUCAUGAAAUAAUUGUAGUGUCAUAUGCGUCUGAAUGCCAUGUCGUGCAUAGGUACAUGUUUAAUAACAUCAUCAGCCUCUGAGGGCGUCCCAUCAUAUCAUCUCGGCCACUGUGGGCAAAAUCAUCAACAUAUACCAGCUGAUCAGGUGGUGGUGUGUAUAUAAUACCAUAACCUUUCCCAUAUCCCAUAUACAUAUAUAUACAUACAUAUAUACGCGUAUAUAACGCCAUCCGGUCAUGGGUCAAUGUACAUGAAUGCAAUGCAUGAAAAGUACGUCAAUAAAAUCUCUUGGAGUGUCAUAAGACCAUUAUGCCUUUGAAUGAUAUCAUAAAGUAAACUCUUUUCAACUUUCGUAUUUUUCUGAGACCCAUGAACAUAUGAUAGAAUAAUAUGACACAUGGGAAAUCAAGAAUAUAGGCACCCCUAAUAUUUCUAUGAAUAGAGUCAUUUAUGAAAGUUGCAUAUUUUGCUCGUUUUAUUUGUAUCGUAUGGAUCAGGCUAAAAGAAAGAACGGAUUGCCUUAAUAUACCUGGAGUAGGAAAAACUCCGUAUAAUAUUCUCGCAAGAGAAUUUGAUUUGCAAAAGUCUUGUUGCUUAACGUCUUGUAGGCUUGAAUGUAACGUUUCUAAAUGUUCUGUUGAUCUUUGGUUUCAAGACAAGAAAAGUGAAGUUUCUUUGAAAGCUUGGAGAAUGCUAAACAUUCUGUUGAUCUUCAGUUUCAAGACAAGAAAAAUGAAGUUUAUUUGAAGGCUUGGAAAAUGC
rnacentral:lncRNA from 1 species